AUAGUAGUCCAGCUUCAAAAUUUGUUCAAGGAUAAUAAGAGAGUGAAGAAUCCUGAAAAUAACAUUAGCAGUGAAGUGAAGUGCAGGGAUGGCCAUUUUAAAAUCCCACAAAACUUGAAUUUUAUUCACUUUCCUAAAAUCUAAGAACAGCAAUUAGGCCUACGGUCAAGAAACAUAAAAAGAAAAGGCACAAAUAACUAGAUUCUAUAUAUAUUUAUUGCAUUCAACAACAGACGCUGAAUUUAUUAAAUAAUUUUUAAAUUAAAAAUGACAUGGGAACAUUUCA